rnacentral:lncRNA from 1 species
CUCCAGGGGCGAACAACUGAAAUUGCUCCGGGAUGCAGUACUGCUCCCAGAGCCGAUCAACGUUCGGCCCCGAAAGUGAAAAGACCUCCACCUCCGGGGUCGAUCGAGAAUCGUCAGUUGGGUUCCCCGACCGACUUCCUCGAGGAGAUGUUCUAGCCAUUACGCCGGAACAAGGGGUCAAAGAAUGGAAGAGGAAGAAAGAGGAGGACUAC